AUUUGUUUAUUUGAGCACGGCUGUAGUAUUUUUAAUGGUCUCCUAAGAUACAAACAUUGGAUAAACAAGGCAUAACGCACAUCAUAAAUGUUUUAAUAUGCAAGGCUCGCCGAUUCUUAAAUUGAAUGCGCUAUAUGAAUGAUUUAUUAAUUCCAGGUUUUCAAAAUAGAUUCAGACAAAAAGUGCGUAAUGGCAGCGAACUGACAUUUAAUUUUUAGUUUGUGUACAAAUUUCACGGAACAAAAAACAAUGUGGAAUUUAUUGCAUUCAAGUUGUUUGCUGCUGGCGUGCCUAUUUUUCAUCACGGGAUCUGCGGGUCAAAAUUCGACGUAUGUAGUUGUUUUGCCGGGGCAAGACAUACUGAAUGGAACAGAAAACCCACAAAUCAAGUAUGAACUAGUUAUGACCACAACUUCCCCUAACCCAGUGGAUGUGAUUAUAAC